UACGUAGGGGGCAAGCGUUGUCCGGAAUCAUUGGGCGUAAAGAGCGUGUAGGCGGUUCGGUAAGUCGGCUGUGAAAGUCCAGGGCUCAACCCUGGGAUGCCGGUCGAUACUGCCGGACUAGAGUUCGGAAGAGGCGAGUGGAAUUCCCGGUGUAGCGGUGAAAUGCGCAGAUAUCGGGAAGAACACCCGUGGCGAAGGCGGCUCUCUGGUACGUGACUGACGCUGAGACGCGAAAGCGUGGGGAGCGAACAGG
rnacentral:rRNA from 1 species